rnacentral:rRNA from 1 species
UACGUAGGGCGCAAGCGUUAUCCGGAAUUAUUGGGCGUAAAGAGCGUGUAGGCGGCUAGACAAGUCUGCUGUGAAAACUUGAGGCUCAACCUCAAGCUGUCGGCGGAAACUGUUUGGCUAGAGUCCGGAAGAGGAGAGUGGAAUUCCUGGUGUAGCGGUGAAAUGCGCAGAUAUCAGGAAGAACACCUAUGGCGAAGGCAGCUCUCUGGGACGGUACUGACGCUGAGACGCGAAAGCGUGGGGAGCGAACAGG